rnacentral:misc_RNA from 1 species
UCCGGUUUGUCACCGGCAGUCUCGCAUGAGUCCCCAACUAAAUGCUGGCAACAUGCGACAGGGGUUGCGCUCGUUGAGGGACUUAACCCAACAUCUCACGACACGAGCUGACGACAACCAUGCACCACCUGUCACUCUGUCCCCCGAAGGGGAACGUCCUAUCUCUAGGAGUGUCAGAGGAUGUCAAGACCUGGUAAGGUUCUUCGCGUUGCAUCGAAUUAAACCACAUGCUCCACCGCUUGUGCGGGUCCCCGUCAAUUCCUUUGAGUUUUAAUCUUGCGACCGUACUCCCCAGGCGGGAUGCUUAAUGCGUUAGCUGCGCCACUGAAGGGUAAACCCCCCAACGGCUAGCAUCCAUCGUUUACGGCGUGGACUAC